rnacentral:rRNA from 1 species
GAUGAACGCUGGCGGCGUGCUUAACACAUGCAAGUCGAACGGAGUUGUUUCGCUGACGAGACUUCGGUCAAAUCUUGAAACAACUUAGUGGCGGACGGGUGAGUAACGCGUGGGUAACCUGCCAUAUACAGGGGGAUAACACUUAGAAAUAGGUGCUAAUACCGCAUAAGCGCACAGUUCUGCAUGGAACAGUGUGAAAAACUCCGGUGGUAUAUGAUGGACCCGCGUCUGAUUAGCUAGUUGGUGAGGUAACGGCCCACCAAGGCAACGAUCAGUAGCCGGCCUGAGAGGGUGAACGGCCACAUUGGGACUGAGACACGGCCCAAACUCCUACGGGAGGCAGCAGUGGGGAAUAUUGCACAAUGGGGGAAACCCUGAUGCAGCGACGCCGCGUGAAGUGAAGAAGUAUUUCGGUAUGUAAAAGCUCUAUCAGCAAGGAAGAAAAUGACGGUACUUGACUAAGAAGCCCCCGGNUAACUACGUGCCAG